AUUGAACGCUGGCGGCAUGCCUUACACAUGCAAGUCGAACGGCAGCACGGGGCAACCUGGUGGCGAGUGGCGAACGGGUGAGUAAUGCAUCGGAACGUGCCAUUGAGUGGGGGAUAACGUAGCGAAAGUUGCGCUAAUACCGCAUAUUCUGUGAGCAGGAAAGCAGGGGACCGCAAGGCCUUGCGCUCUUUGAGCGGCCGAUGUCAGAUUAGCUAGUUGGUGAGGUAACGGCUUACCAAGGCGACGAUCUGUAGCGGGUCUGAGAGGAUGAUCCGCCACACUGGAACUGAGACACGGUCCAGACUCCUACGGGAGGCAGCAGUGGGGAAUUUUGGACAAUGGGCGCAAGCCUGAUCCAGCCAUGCCGCGUGAGUGAAGAAGGCCUCGGGUUGGUAAAGGACUCUUUCGGUCCGGGAACGGAAAGUACGCCGAUGGGUUAAGUACCCGUUACGUGUGGAUGACGGUACCGGAA
rnacentral:rRNA from 1 species